GCAUGUGCUGUGAAGGGGGGGAGCUACUUCUGACACAGUCGGGGAGGGGGAAGUUGAAGUAGAGGCAGGAGUUUUGCAGGAAUCUGUCUGUGAAUGGAGAGAGAGAGAGGAGCCUUUUGCAGCAGUGAGCUACUAAUGGUGGUUUGUAAUACAACACGCUUUUGGGAGGGGGAGGGGGCAGGGCCAGGAGAGAGCAGGAGUUUUCUGUGAAGAUUUCAGAGAAGGGACAGAGCUAAAUUUGCUGCCUUUAGGUGCCUUUUGGGAGAGGGAGAAGACACACCGCCCUCCCUACGUCAAUACUGUUUCUUCUGGAUAGAUCACAGGCAGCAUGUAUGGUGUGUGUGAGAAAGUGUUCAGGCGGACCAACUACAGGGUGUCAAUGUAUCUGACACCAGUGAGGAAGAAAGUGAUGACAAUGACUGCGUGGAUCUGUCCUUCCUCAUUUCUGAUAGCAGCGAAGAAGAGGAAUUCUUGGGGUUCGAAUAAAAACAUUACAGCCUUAUUUUUGUUACUUUCACUGUUUACUGACUUUACUGACUGUUAAUGAGAGUAAAGAUCGUUCUUAAUAUGUUACAUGGUUGACAUAAAAUUGUUCUUAAACUGCUGUUAACUUUAUACAGUUGAUAUAAAAUAUUUUACUACAG